rnacentral:tRNA from 1 species
GCACCCGUAGCUCAGUUGGAUAGAGCAUCAGGCUUCGAACCUGAGGGUCGGGCGUUCGAGUCGCUCCGGGUGCGCCA